rnacentral:rRNA from 1 species
UGGUGGANCAUGUGGUUUAAUUCGAUGCAACGCGAAGAACCUUACCUACUCUUGACAUCCACAGAAUUCGCUAGAGAUAGCUUAGUGCCUUCGGGAACUGUGAGACAGGUGCUGCAUGGCUGUCGUCAGCUCGUGUUGUGAAAUGUUGGGUUAAGUCCCGCAACGAGCGCAACCCUUAUCCUUUGUUGCCAGCGCGUAAUGGCGGGAACUCAAAGGAGACUGCCGGUGAUAAACCGGAGGAAGGUGGGGAUGACGUCAAGUCAUCAUGGCCCUUACGAGUAGGGCUACACACGUGCUACAAUGGCGUAUACAAAGAGAAGCGAACUCGCGAGAGCCAGCGGACCUCAUAAAGUACGUCGUAGUCCGGAUCGGAGUCUGCAACUCGACUCCGNGAAGUCGGA